rnacentral:misc_RNA from 1 species
CUUUGAACGCACAUUGCGGCCUCGGGCCUUCCCGUGGCUUCGUCUGUGUGAGGGUCGGAUCAUAUAUCAAGAGAGGAGAAUUUUGUCGAUUCUACCUCGUUUUGACUGUGUCGGGUCGUGGGCAGAACGCACGAGAAACGUCUUUUCGGAGCAAAUGGAAAAACAACGUGCACGCGUGCGCAUUGGAAUGCCGGUGUGUGUUUGCGUAGUUUCGGAAUACCACUGCCGAUUCACGUGACGGAGGGAGCAAAAGAAGUUACCCAAUGUGAGAAAAGGAAAAACGAGUGUCUCUCAUUCGCUGAAGGCGAUGGCGGGCGUGCAAGAAUACACCAAUUCUUAACCCGUUUUGAGCCUUCGAUGAGCGGAGAUUGACGAGGAAACUCGGUUUCUUUUUUUCUGAGGAUUGUGGAACUUCGCGCUUUCUCUUUUCGUCCGUGUUUUUCAGGUGCUGAAAGUGGGUUCCAGAACGAUGAACGCGAACACGAGGAAACUGGCACGGAUUUGCGUGUUGAAACGCGGCGCCGAUUCCGUCUCCGAUUGAAAAGACGCGUUGAGUGCGUCGUCGCCUUCCGUCAGUCUAAGACCUUCGCGUCCCCGAUGAAUACUGGAGCUAUCCAGUAGGGGAAUGCCGUUGGAAAUGCGAUGCUACUUUCUCUUGUGGACGAGAUUUCGAAUCUCGGAGGGAAACGAGAAGCUGUGCAUUUGCGAAAAGACUGUUUUUUCUUCGUUGCUUGUGUUGCGCUGAAGAGAACGUUUUUUCCUCUUACAAUAUCAUUGUCGACCUCACAUCAGGCGA